rnacentral:rRNA from 1 species
CCCCCGGUAAAAGCCUACCAAGGCGAUUACGGGUAGCCGGCCUGAGAGGGCGACCGGCCACACUGGGACUGAAACCGGCCCAGACUCUGCGGUUGGGAGCAGUGGGGAAUAUUGCGCAAUGGGCGAAAGCCUGACGCAGCGACGCCGCGUGGGGGAGACGGCCUUCGGGUUGUAAACCUCUUUUACCACUCACGCAGGCCCCACGUUUUCGUGGGGUUGACGGGAGGCGGCGAAUAAGGACCGGCUAACUACGUGCCAGCAGCCGCGGUAAUACGUAUGUUCCGAGCGUUGUCCGGAAUUAUUUCGACGUAGGAGCUCGCACGCGGCGUGUCGCGCCCGCUGUGAAACACCGGCCCUUAACCCCGGUCUGCAGUGGAUACGGCCAUGCUAGAGGUAGGUAGGGGAGACUGAAAUUCUGGUGUAGCGGUGAAAUGCGCAGAUAUCAGGAGGAACACCGGUGGCGAAGGUGGGUGUCUGGGCCUUACCUGACGCUGAGGAGCGAAAGCAUGGGGAGCGAAUAGGAUACAUACCCUGGAAGCCCAUGCCGAAAACGUUGGGAGCUAGCUGAGGGGACUUUCCACGGCUUCCGCGCCGUAGCUAACGCAUUAAGCGCCCCGCCUGGAGAGUACGGCCGCAAGGUUAAAACUCGAAGGAAUUGACGGGG